rnacentral:lncRNA from 1 species
GUCCCUUGUGCCCCCUUGAUCUAAAUGGAAAACAUCGGGAUACCUUGCUUCCUGCCUGUUAGCCCUGAACUCUUGUUCUCUACACAUCUAGAGAAUUACCUGACAAAGGACAGGAAGAAAACUGUUCUACUGAGGAGGAUUUCUGCUGCAUUUGGGGAGUGGAGUUUGUGUGGAAUUCUUGGUCUGAGGAAGAGAGAGAAAGAGAGAGACAGAGAGAGAGAGGAGGAAGGAGGG